GAUGAACGCUGGCGGCGUGCCUAAUACAUGCAAGUCGAGCGAACAGAUGAGGAGCUUGCUCCUCUGACGUUAGCGGCGGACGGGUGAGUAACACGUGGAUAACCUACCUAUAAGACUGGGAUAACUUCGGGAAACCGGAGCUAAUACCGGAUAAUAUAUUGAACCGCAUGGUUCAAUAGUGAAAGACGGUUUUGCUGUCACUUAUAGAUGGAUCCGCGCCGCAUUAGCUAGUUGGUAAGGUAACGGCUUACCAAGGCAACGAUGCGUAGCCGACCUGAGAGGGUGAUCGGCCACACUGGAACUGAGACACGGUCCAGACUCCUACGGGAGGCAGCAGUAGGGAAUCUUCCACAAUGGGCGAAAGCCUGACGGAGCAACGCCGCGUGAGUGAUGAAGGUCUUCGGAUCGUAAAACUCUGUUAUUGGGGAAGAACAAAUGUGUAAGUAACUAUGCACGUCUUGACGGUACCUAAUCAGAAAGCCACGGCUAACUACGUG
rnacentral:rRNA from 1 species